rfam:Lentisphaera araneosa HTCC2155 1101329224561, whole genome shotgun sequence.
UCCGCGAUAGCUCAGUUGGUAGAGCAGGAGACUGUUAAUCUCUUUGUCAUAGGUUCGAGUCCUAUUCGCGGAG